AAAGGAGCACGGGAAAAACCAACGUUGCGAGCAUAGGAUUAACUACCUACGUUUCUACGCACACAGUUUAGUGGACAGAACGGUGCUGAGCCGCAUGUUGGCAAGUGGCAUUUUAUAGCGAAAUAGGAUUAACAGCAAGCUGUGCUCCUCCGAGACUUCAGAAUACUCACAUCAGGCCCAUGGACAAAGAAGUGAACGAACCGGUUGUACGCGAAGAUGCAAGGACUGCAGUCACCGCAUGCCCAACGCGCAGGUUCAAAGGCAAGGAAAAGCAAGAAUCGGCGCCAGUCGACAGCGAACACGAUGCCAAAGGAACGGGUAAUGAAACCCGAUCUCCAAAGUGAGAAGACCUCAACGUACUGUGAGAAGGCUGCAUCGCUCACCACAAUGGCCUUGUUUUCAGAUCUCUAAAGUGAGAGCAUGUCAAACGUACUGUGAUAAGCCUGCAUCGCUCAAUAAACACCGCAAUGGCCUUGUUUUCAGAUGGAA